rnacentral:rRNA from 1 species
AGAGUUGAUCCUGGCUUAGGACGAACGCUGGCGGCGUGCCUAACACAUGCAAGUCGAGCGAGGAGAUUCCUUCGGGAUGAUCCUAGCGGCGGACGGGUGAGUAACACGUGGGCAACCUGCCUCAUAGAGAGGAAUAGCCUUCCGAAAGGGAGAUUAAUACCUCAUAACAUUGCAGUUUCGCAUGGAACAGCAAUUAAAGGAGCAAUCCGCUAUGAGAUGGGCCCGCGGCGCAUUAGCUAGUUGGUGAGGUAACGGCUCACCAAGGCGACGAUGCGUAGCCGACCUGAGAGGGUGAUCGGCCACAUUGGGACUGAGACACGGCCCAGACUCCUACGGGAGGCAGCAGUGGGGAAUAUUGCACAAUGGGGGAGACCCUGAUGCAAGCAACGCCGCGUGAGUGAUGACGGCCUUCGGGUUGUAAAGCUCUGUCUUCAGGGACGAUAAUGACGGUACCUGAGGAGGAAGCCACGGCUAACUACGUGCCAGCAGCGGC